rnacentral:lncRNA from 1 species
AUGCCCAGAGAAUCACUUUUUUCAGACCUAAAGUGUUAUUUUUCUGUCACAGAAUCAUACAAUCACAGAAUAUCCCAAGUUGGAAGGGACCCACAAGGAUCAUUGCAUCCAACUUCUGUCAGACCUGAAGUUUUUUCACCACAGACUGUGAGCAUUUUGAAAAUGGAUGCAAAAGAAAAUUUAGAUGCGGUAGCUGUGCUCUCAUCCAUCUGUAAGAAGAAUUGCACUACUCAGCCUAUGGGAAUGUCUGCCAACUAGAAGCCGGUGAAAUUCACUGACCCCAAGUAAACUUUUUCUGACAGAGGAAAAUAGGCAUGGUGCUUUCUGCUGCAGGAGGCUGCCUCACAAGUCCUUUCCCAGCCCAGAUAUGUAUUGAGUGUCAAGUUGGCCACUGACAAUUUACGCUUUUCUGCAGAAGAGCUUUGGGAUGUGCCUUGGCUGUUGAUUUUCAGUGGCAGAAGCUCAUGGCUUUCAGCUCUAACCUUCAGAAUUUGCUGCUAGUGGACAACAGCCUCAUCACAGUCAGCAAAUACGCAGGAGCUAGAGCUCUUGCAAGGCACUGGUGAGGAUCAGAGCCUUGGAGGUAACUUCAUUCUCCAGCACACUCUGAUGCUGCCUGAUCUGUGAACAUCUGUGAUUCUCCAGAUUGUC